UUUGUUUCCAAUUGAUACUUAUUUUUCCCCAAGUUUAGAGGCAUUAACUCAUAAACAGAAAGAACUGAAGUGCUGACUUCAUAAGAUUCAAAAAGUUAAGGGAGUUACUUUGCCUUCGUUCUUUAAGUUAAUGAAAUCUUGUUCAAGCCCAUCCACCAACCCUUCAUUCAAAUAUCACUUUCCUGAUUGCUUUUGUUAUGUGCCAUUGAGUCAUGGAGAUUUCACGGCUGACUCAUGCAGUGGCAAGGCGAUAAAUCAUAACCACCAAAUAACGUCAGAGAAAUUACAAAUGAUAGACGGCAUUUCAAAGGACUGCCUGUGGGAAACCAGCACAUGUACUGCAGAACCUCAUCUCUGAGACAGCUGGGCAGGAAAAGUCAAAGUAGGGAGCUUGAGAAAGAAACAAUCCAACUCAUACGCCUCUGAGGAGGAUGGAAGAAGAGGAAGAGGUGAGCUAUUUACUAUCUAAGGAUAUCUAAUUGAAGCCACUUGAAGCUUUUACAUGAAUAUAACAUUAUCUCUGGUGGACACAGACAUAUAGAUAUUCCCAUUCUCUUAAGAAUUCUGCCAAGAAAGAAAAGCUGAGAAGGCAUCUUCUUCAAAAUUCUUAAGGGAAAC
rnacentral:lncRNA from 9 species